CCCGUGCCACCACAGUACCACAACAGAGAAAAAAGCUAGAGGAAGGCGUCCAGGUUCAGUGCACCCGAUCCCCGUCACUGCAGGAGAUCGAUACUGUCGUUCAAAGUUCAGAAACGCGGCCAGAUGACGAGUUUCAGAGCGGGUCAAAUUGGAGCGGGCUGAGCCUCCCAAGAGAUGCUCGCAGUAUAAGUAUCUUUGGUGGUGAAGCAGCGUCCCAAGAGGCGAGAUGACAUUCUUCUUCCUCAUGCCACCGUAAGAGGAGGAGGAGGAGAGGCCGUGGUCUCGCGUGGAGUUCCCUCAAUCAUCACUUCUUGGUUCUAGUCUGUCGUUGUUCGCUCUCGCUCAGCUGAAGAUGUUUCCAAUGCUGCAACGGUUCAUGAUCCAAUAUAUUCUGACGCCAUCCACGCCGUUUUGAGAGGGUACACUGGCCCAGUAUUCCUGAAUUUUACCUUGUCUUCGGCUAUGUUUAUCUAUCUGGUAGAAGGUAGGGGCCAUGAAAAUCAAUGAUUGCAUUCAUUCACCAGUUCGGCCAAUGAGAACACUUUUAGCUCACCAGCCCUGAGAUGCAACAAUAUGCAUCAACUUUGGACAUCUAAGGCAAUAACAUGUACAGUCAAAAGAUAUUUCCUGCAAAAUUGUGCAAUAUUACAAAACA